rnacentral:rRNA from 1 species
UACAGAGGGUGCGAGCGUUUAAUCGGAAUUACUGGGCGUAAAGGGCGCGUAGGCGGUUAUUUAAGUUGGAUGUGAAAUCCCUGGGCUUAACCUAGGAACUGCAUACAAUACUGGAUAACUGGAGUGCAGUAGAGGGUAGUGGAAUUUCCGGUGUAGCGGUGAAAUGCGUAGAUAUCGGAAGGAACACCAGUGGCGAAGGCGGCUACCUGGACUGACACUGACGCUGAGGCGCGAGAGCGUGGGGGAGCAAACAGG